rnacentral:lncRNA from 1 species
GAGGAUCUAGGAAGGUGGAAAAGGUAUCCAUGUCCAUUCCCAUAAAGGAACCACAAGCUUCGAGCAUCGGCUCUAUUUGUUGAUUGCAUUGAAUUUGGUAUGAAGCCUAUUGUGUAAACUAGAGCUCCAGCUAUUCCAUUCACUAAGGCAAUGUUAAAGUUUGUGGUCUAGGCUAAGAAGCUUGAGGACGUGGUGUUACAGAAGAACUACCACUAACCGAAGGUUGAGAAUAUCAAUAAAUAAGUCUCAUGUCAAUUGAAACUUUCGAGUGCAGUAAUUC